GAGAGGGAGAGUGCGGCUGACGGUGACCAGUUCUGGUCGCUGAGGAAAGUCCCCCCACCUUUCAGGCGCGCAGCCUCGUGCAAGCGGGGAUGGCGAGAGUCAUGGCAAUGACACAGAAACGACACGUCCUGCCGCCAGCGAUGAAACGACCGAGCCCCACCAUCACUGAUGGUGGUGCGAUACCUAACUCGUUGAGCGUAACGGCAGGGAUCGAUGGAACGGUGAAUCCCUGCGGGUGCAAGCCAAACAGGGCAGAAGGGAUGCCUGGAUCCCGCCCGGGUACGGCGCUUAGCUGAAUGCCGCAAUGAACAGAAGGGGGCUUACUCCUCCCACUC
rnacentral:RNase_P_RNA from 1 species